UCGGGAAUUUUGGGCAAUGGGCGAAAGCCUGACCCAGCAACGCCGCGUGAGGGAUGAAGUAUUUCGGUAUGUAAACCUCGAAAGAAUGGGAAGAAUAAAUGACGGUACCAUUUAUAAGCUCCGGCUAACUACGUGCCAGCAGCCGCGGUAAUACGUAGGGAGCAAGCGUUGUUCGGAUUUACUGGGCGUAAAGGGCGCGUAGGCGGCGCGGUAAGUCACUUGUGAAAUCUCUGAGCUUAACUCAGAACGGCCAAGUGAUACUGCUGUGCUAGAGUGCGGAAGAGGCAACCGGAAUUCUUGGUGUAGCGGUGAAAUGCGUAGAUAUCAAGAGGAACACCUGAGGCGAAGGCGGGUUGCUGGGCCGACACUGACGCUGAUGGGCGAAAGCCAGGGGAGCAAACG
rnacentral:rRNA from 1 species